GAUCAUGGCUCAGGAUGAACGCUAGCUACAGGCUUAACACAUGCAAGUCGAGGGGCAGCAUGAACUUAGCUUGCUAAGUUUGAUGGCGACCGGCGCACGGGUGAGUAACACGUAUCCAACCUGCUGAUGACUCGGGGAUAGCCUUUCGAAGGAAAGAUUAAUACCCGAUGGCAUAGUUCUUCCGCAUGGUGGAACUAUUAAAGAAUUUCGGUCAUCGAUGGGGAUGCGUU
rnacentral:rRNA from 1 species